GCUGACGUCAGAUGCGCUGGCCAAUGAGCGCGGGGCCUGCUGCGGCCGCACGCGCAGUCCUGCCCAGAGACGCCAGGGGGAGGAAGAGCGCGAGCCCCUGAGACAGCAAAGGUGCCCGGAAGUGGGAGACGAUAUUUUAAGUUAUACAGCUAUGUUUUGUCAAGACUUUGAAGAGUCAGGGAUAUACUGCUUGCAAGCUAAGAGAUGCCCCUCUUGGUGUACUACUUCAACUGAAGAGGAGUAUAUUAGUACACAACUGCAUCUCCUGCUCAUCCCAAAGUCCUGAGAAAACAACAGCAACAAAUAUUCAUUGAGAGGCAUUAAUU
rnacentral:lncRNA from 1 species